rnacentral:rRNA from 1 species
GAUGAACGCUGGCGGCGUGCCUAAUACAUGCAAGUCGAGCGAACAGACGAGGAGCUUGCUCCUCUGACGUUAGCGGCGGACGGGUGAGUAACACGUGGAUAACCUACCUAUAAGACUGGGAUAACUUCGGGAAACCGGAGCUAAUACCGGAUAAUAUAUUGAACCGCAUGGUUCAAUAGUGAAAGACGGUUUUGCUGUCACUUAUAGAUGGAUCCGCGCCGCAUUAGCUAGUUGGUAAGGUAACGGCUUACCAAGGCAGCGAUGCGUAGCCGACCUGAGAGGGUGAUCGGCCACACUGGAACUGAGACACGGUCCAGACUCCUACGGGAGGCAGCAGUAGGGAAUCUUCCGCAAUGGGCGAAAGCCUGACGGAGCAACGCCGCGUGAGUGAUGAAGGUCUUCGGAUCGUAAAACUCUGUUAUUAGGGAAGAACAAAUGUGUAAGUAACUAUGCACGUCUUGACGGUACCUAAUCAGAAGGCCACGGCUAACUACGUG